UACGUAGGGGGCAAGCGUUGUCCGGAAUUAUUGGGCGUAAAGAGCUUGUAGGCGGUCUGUCGCGUCUGCUGUGAAAAUCCGGGGCUCAACCCCGGACUUGCAGUGGGUACGGGCAGACUAGAGUGUGGUAGGGGAGGCUGGAAUUCCUGGUGUAGCGGUGAAAUGCGCAGAUAUCAGGAGGAACACCGAUGGCGAAGGCAGGUCUCUGGGCCACUACUGACGCUGAGAAGCGAAAGCAUGGGGAGCGAACAGG
rnacentral:rRNA from 1 species